GGACCCUGGAGAGGUGGACUUGGUUGUGCGUAACUAUAAUUGUGGGGCAUUUUGCCAUCAGUUUUUAUAAAACAUACUGUUUUAAUAUGUUUUGUUUUGACAUCCAUUGUUUUAGUACUGUUGAUUGACAUGAUCUGAUAAAUGUACCAUUGAAGGUAACUGCAUUUUACUUUCUCAACAGAAUAUACUGACAUUGUCAUGGCGGAGUCUGUCACUCUCACAGUAUUGUAGUGGAUUUAUCAUCAUGCCUAAAGGCAUCAUUUUAUUUAUUUCUGAUCUGCUGUGUGAUGUCAGACAGCCUCUUUCAGGGAACUGAAUGCCUGCUGAGUUUUAGUUUCAUUUGGUACUCGGUGCCCAUCCACCCUUUGGAGAAGAACAAUAUUUAAGACUCUUUCUCUGAAAUGGUGGAGGCACUUCAAAGCUUGAUUUUGUGCCAGACAUACUUAAACUGCUUUAUAAAGGAUAUUGGGCUAAAGUAUGAAUUAGGACCGCGGCCUAUUUACAAUGCAUCUUUUGCGGAAGAUUACACAUUUUAAAAAGCUCGCUUUUCUGUAAUAUACAAUGCAAGUAGUUUUCUGGCCAGUUAAAGCAUCACUGUUUCAACUACAGGUGCAAUAAUGUCCAAGGAGAUCCAGAUAACUUGUUGUUGUUUAAUUAGACCAAAUAGUACCACAAAAUUGUUCUUCCCCAAACUCAGUGUUACAGGUAUCAAUUUGCUGCUAUAGUAGAGAUUAGUAUUUCAGAUGCGAGUUUCCUAAAUUGUCAAUUUCUUAUUCUUAAAAUUUUAGGGCACAUUUAUUUCUCUAAUCCACAAUGUGGUGGAAGAUCUUUUAUCUUCAUGCAUGUUUCUCUAUGGUACAUUCUGCUUGCAGCUGUAAUGUGCACUCUGGUGCGAAUCAAAUACCAGCAUGUGGAUUAAACUGGAGAAUUUGCUCUUUAAUUUCUAAGUUACAGAUUGAUUCCUGUAAAUUUCUUAGAUGUGGCUGGUUCUCCAAAUCCACAUUGAUUGCUUAGAGUCUAAAUUCUAUACAAGCCAGACAUUACAAAUCUCUUUACUUCUUGUGUUUUGUUUUUGAAUUGAGAAACCAUACAGAAGCUCACACUUCACAUGUUAAAAUCUCUUUACAUCAUACUCUUUUACAGUUUGAGGGCUAAGUUAUGUUGCAUUUGGACAUCUUGGGGCCAUUACUCAUACAUUGGCUUUUUAUAUUAAACAAAAGAGCAACAGAGAAAAGUUAAUGAUCCAUGCCAAAAUUUAUGUUUGCACGUUUUGUUGCAUCUAAGUACAAAAACAAAAUUCUCUGUGUGAUAGUUCAGAAGCUAAUAUGUUAAGAGUUUCCCUGAGAUCACAGUAUGAUUUUUAAAUAGUUAUUAAUGAAAACUGAUGGACAUCAAACUUUUUUAGACACACUAAGAGCCCCAGUUGUGAACUUGGGACCUGCCUCUGUAUCUCUUGGCUUAGGAUGUAUAUUUUUGGUAUGACUCAAGUUGUGCAGUAAUUUGGCUGGUGUUCUGCUUCUCUCCCAGUGUAAGUGGAGGAAAGCCUCUGGCCCAAAGACUUUUUCAAGAAUUUAUUUUCCUUCAGACAAUAUGAUGCUGAGUUGAAAUGGGGGCUAAAACAACUUCGCAGAGGAGAGUGUGGUUAGUAGGUGAUUAGUCUCUGUCCUUUCCCCCACCUCCCCCGAUGGUGUGCAGAAAAGGGGGAGAAAAAAGAAAAGGGGAAAAGGAGAGCGACUUCCCAGGAUUCCCCAGGAGGUGGUCCCAAGAGUUCAUUCCCAUGCACAACUUGCGCCUUACGCUGUGCUCGUUCUGUGAGUAAUAUAAGGGUGCUGAUGACACACACGCCGCUGCCCUCAUUGUUUUCUCGUUGGCAUGUCUAUACCUUGGUCUGUUUAUUUUUAAGAGAUCAUUAUAUAGAACCUGAGAAUAAUGACACAGCGCCCAUCAUCUGAGGAGGUCGAUGCACUUUACAAAGGUGGGUAAACAUUAUGAUUCCCCUUUAAUACAGAGUGAGGAAGUGUAUCACAAAGGAGCAGAGAGAUUUGUCACAGGUUGCACAAUGUGUUAGUGGUAGCUGGGACUAAAAUCCAGGUCUUCUGAGUCCCAGACCUGCACUCUCAAACACUAAAUAAUUCUGCCCCUUGUUGGUUACUUCAAAAUCUCUGGCUUUUUCUGAUGUUACUAUGGUCCGUGAUAUUUUCUUUUCAUUUUCAAUUCCCCUUUUUCCUUCCCUUCCCCACUCCAAAAUGUACACUCCACAAUGAGAGUGCUUCUUCAUGCUUUCAAAGGAGGUGGAUAAACCUUAGGCCAGAUUCUGUGCUGCAACUCUCAGGAGAGAGAACACAGGAAGGCAGAGGGGAUCGACGGUGGCUUCAGUACCUUUGUGGCUCUCAGAUUCUAGCACUAAUUAGAGCAGUGUCUUGGGGCUGGUCUGACUACUAACAGCUUCCUCAGACUUUCUAAUGUGUUAUUCUGCAGCCCAGAAUGUCCAGAGGACACAGUGCUGGAGUAGUGUAAAAAGCAGAGCAUGGGCAGAGCAUGGGCUGGAAUCUGACCCAAUGACUGUAAUUACACUCUUCUCCCGUUGAUCUCACACCCACACAGGCGUAGUUCAGCUGGGAAGCUUGGCUCAUGGAGAAGAAUGGGAACCUGAGGCACCAUGAAUGUAUUUUCAUAUUGGAGGUUUUGGGUCUUUGGUUUUUCAGCACAAAGUUGAAAUUUUCCAUGGAAACCAAACACUUCACAUUAAGAAUUUCAUUUAGUCAAAACCCAAUUUUCUGUCCAAAACCAGGUUUGAUGGAAAAUUUCUGAUCCACCCUACUUAAUACGCCCCAUUAAUGUAUGUGUCCCCAUUUUUGAGACACAUGUAGAUAUUACGGAACUGCUGGAGCAAUAUGUAAAAAAAAAAAAAAUUCUGCCCUGUUACAGUUGCAGAAUUUGAAUAUUGAACUAAAGCGUUAUUUGUUUAGUGGAAAUUAAGCUCUGUUUGUUUCAUCAGUGCUCGCUGAAUGGGGACGUCUUGUGUUGGGCUGUGAAAAUGGGUUUAUUGGCAAAAAGGGUAGACCGUUAUUUGGGUGGUUUGGCCACUUUCCCUUUCUUGGAGCAGAUUAAGAUUUGUUAAAUUGGUUCCCUUUUCCAAGCUCUUGAGGGGUGAAGUAAAGAAGCCAUUGGAAAUGCACAGCAACUAGUGUCUGGGAUCUAAAAAGACCUGGGAAGUGUGCUGUGUGUUCCUGAGUGCUAUCUACUGGUACUUUAUCACCUAACUCUUAAGUACAGACAUCUCUUUUAUAGAGCACUCCUAUUACACAGACAAGGUGGUCUGGUGUCAGGGGGCAGAGAUGCGAUGGGCAGCAAAUCCUAUUGGCCUGAGGAUGAGAGAUUCUGUCUGUUUUUGCUAGUCAUUAGGAAUCAAUUGCUAGGUCUGGGCUAGAGAGCAAGGAUGAGAGCAAGUUCCACAAAAGGAUAGAAUUUCGUAGAAUCCUAUUUCUCUCAUUGGUCAGAGGAAAGAAUGGGGUAGAAGCGUGAGUUCCUUUGGGCAGGGGAGAGCAUCUGGGGAGGUUGGGGUUCUACAAUUGAAUAUUAAUGAGAACCCAGCAUGGGCGUUCUUUUAUGUUGCGUUCAAAUAGACAUCCAUUAAUUAAUAGAAAUUCUGUAGCUGGCUCGUGGGAGAAUAAUAAACCACAUUUUUACUUUAUAUGCAUACACCUUUAUAUGCAUACACCUUUCCCAUUCUUUUCAGUGCACAUGUCUUGUCUAUUUGAAGACAAUUUCACCCUUAUUGUGGAAUAAGAACAACACAUCUGACAAGUUUUAAGGCUACCCAGUAAUGGUCUCCACAUUCAACCUUAACAAUUACACAUUUCUCCCCUUGAAUUUAAGAGACUUAAGACCAUUCCUGUGAGCCUUACACAUGUGAGCAGUCUCUGGGCAGUACCAUUGCGAGUGACAGGAGUGAAGCUUUGCAUGAUCAUAUCCUGAACUUUAUUCCUGGUUUCUAGCUGUGUAAAUGAUUUCCAUAUAUAUUUUGUGUGUAUACAACAUAUAAAUGACUUGUAUUUUUAUAUCAGUGAACUUAAGUUUGCAUAUUGCAGUUUUUACCCAGUAAAUUUAAUUUUUGAAUGUUAA